rnacentral:rRNA from 1 species
AUACGGAGGGUGCAAGCGUUACGCGGAAUCACUGGGCGUAAAGCGCGCGCAGGCGGCUAUUUAAGUUGGAUGUGAAAGCCUACGGCUCAACCGUAGAACUGCAUCCAAAACUAUUUAGCUAGAGUGUGGGAGAGGAAGAUGGAAUUAGUUGUGUAGGGGUAAAAUCCGUAGAGAUAACUAGGAAUACCAAAAGCGAAGGCAAUCUUCUGGAACACUACUGACGCUGAGGCGCGAAAGCGUGGGGAGCAAACAGGAUUAGAUACCCUAGUAGUCC